GCUAUGAAGAGAGGAAUAUCAGGAUGCCUUAGGCCUUGUUCUUUGUUUGAAGAAUAUUUGAGGAGAGACCUUGAAGUUGCCCUUCAGCACCUGGACAACAGGCUAACAGGUCACCUGGCCACACCCUUCCCCACUGUGCUGAGAUGGACUGUGUUUCUAUUUAAAUUAUAGUAAUUACUUCUACAUUUGCCUCUCUAUGUAUAAAUGAGCUUAGGCAAUUUGUAUACAAAUCUGUGCCCUCCUUUUGCCCUCUGCUUGGGUAUGUGAUGCAUUUUCUUGGGGGGGGGCAGCAAUCUGUUAUGUGGGCACCCAAGGAUGGCUAGAGUGUGCUGCUAUUGGGCCAGGCCUAGCUGGCCAGGUAAACUGCAGGGCAGGGCAGGCAGAGAAUGGCGAGACAGCCAAAGGCUGCAUCUCCUCCUCUUCCUCUUGCUCUUCAGAGCUCCCACCACAGCAGUUUCAGAAGCUUCAACCAGUGAACGGUGCCCCCUCUGGAAGCCCAGUCAAGCCACCCCAGUGCUGAGUCUGCUGAUCAGUCUGAAGCUCCCAGUGCGACAGGAAGGAAUCCAGAAUGAUCUUUUAGAUACUGUUUUCUCCUUGUAUCUUGACAGGAAGAAUAAUGUCUCUCCGCUUCUUCUCCCAGAUCAGAAAAAAAAGCGAGGCUAUGCGUGCACCGGCAGUACCGCCAUGUUAUCAACAGCAGAGAGGGGCAUUCUCAGACCACUUCCAGAGAACUUGUCAAGGCAAUUAACAAUUGGCAGAAACAUUCAUGCUUGGCAUUAAAGGCCCUGGCGCUAGUUAGGAAAGAUAAUUUAUUUUCUCAGGAUCUCUCGCCAGGAAGUAAGCCAUAAACUCCAAAGCCACAUCUACUUUUCAACUAGUGACAGUGGAGAAUAUUUCAACUUUAUCUCCUUAGCUAUCUCCCUUCAACUGUUCUGUGGCUACAGCCUCCCAUUACUGCUCAUCCGGACUGCAUAUAGGAUUGCUGCUGCAUUCUUUGACAAUGUACGUAUCCGGGGGUGUAAUGGACACAGGAACGCGAAUAUAUUUUGGAACAAUAUGGACUCUCAGAAAACACGCAAGGGUACUAAAACUGCCUUAAGUUCCAAAUAAUAGGAAUUUCUGCCUGAGAACGGUGCCAGAGGCCACAUUCCAGAGAUCAGUCAGUCUACUGCUUCAUCCCUAUCAGAUGUGGUACACCAAAUAUCACAGCAACGCUUUUUCUCUCCAGCGCUGGAUAUUCCCACUUGAGUGUGUAGUGAGACAACCACAAAAUGUUAGCUAAUGAAACACAGACUUAGGGGGGCGGAGGGUGGAGCUGGGACAACACUGGAAAGGGAGAACGUGUAUCCUGACUGAUGUUUCUCAAAUGGGAUGACAAGGGCUUCCCGCAGUCCCUGGAGCCCUUUUGUGUGUGUCUUGUGCUGAGUGCCAUUGGGAAUGCGAAAGCGCUGGGAAUUCUUCUGCCCCCACAGACUCUGGUAGCCUUUCAGUGGCAUACAAACAGAUGACGAAGGGCUGGCCUUUUCAUCUCAAAGAUCAAGAAAGAACAUGAAGCUCUGAAGGCACAAUGUGAGCAAUAAACAUCCUUCGUUACGAAGCUGAAUUGAAAAGUAGAACUGACACCUUUCUUGUGUGGCCCUUUUCUUGUAUAUCAUAGCAUGGAAAAUAAACAGGUGCAGUGUUUACAACCA